AGGAUGAACGCUGGCGGCGUGCCUAAACAUGCAAGUCAUACGGACUACCUUCGGGUAGUCAGUGGCAAACGGGUGAGUAACACGUGGGAACACGCCUUCGAGUGGGGAAUAACGCUGAGAAAUCAGUGCUAAUACCGCAUAUGGUCGAGAGACUAAAGCAGCAAUGCGCUCGGAGAGUGGCCCGCGGUCGAUUAGCUAGUUGGUGGGGUAAUGGCCUACCAAGGCGGCGAUCGAUAGCUGGUCUGAGAGGAUGGUCAGCCACACUGGGACUGCGAACGGCCCAGACUCCUACGGGAGGCAGCAGUUAGGAAUUUUCGUCAAUGGACGCAAGUCUGAACGAGCGACGCCGCGUGAAGGAUGAAGCCUCUCGGGGUGUAAACUUCUUUUUUACGGGAAGAUAAUGACGGUACCGUAAGAAUAAGCACCGGCUAACUACGUGCCAGCAGCCGC
rnacentral:rRNA from 1 species